GCAAGUCGAACGAGGACUAGAGAGCUUGCUCUCUAUAGCCGAGUGGCGAACGGGUGAGUAACACGUGACUAACCUGUCUUUAGGCGAGGGACAACCUGGGGAAACCCGGACUAAUACCACAUGAUGUCUUUUUUUCGCAGGGAAGAAAGACCAAAGGGGGCCUCUUCUUGAAAGCUCCCGCCUUUAGAGGGGGUCGCGGCGUAUCAGCUUGUUGGUGAGGUAACGGCUCACCAAGGCUACGACGCGUAGCGGGUCUGAGAGGACGAUC
rnacentral:rRNA from 1 species